AAGCGUCUGUAGGUGUUUCGGAAGUCUGAGGUCAAAUGUCGGGGCUCAACCCCGUCAACGUCUUGGAAACUUCCGGAAUUGAGCAAUGGAGAGGCACCUGGAAUGCCAUAUGUAGGAGUAAAAUCCGUAGAUAUAUGGUAGAACGCCGAAAGUGAAGACAGGGUGCUAGCCAUUCGCUGACACUGAGAGACGAAAGCGUGGGGAGCAAAGGGGAUUAGAUACCCCCGUAGUCCACGCCCUAAACUAUGUGUGCUCGAUGUAGGAGAUUUUCAAUUGUCUUCUGUGUCUUAGCUAACGCGGUAAGCACACCGCCUGGGAAGUACGGUCGCAAGACUAAAACUCAAAGGAAUAGACGGGGACCCACACAAGCGGUGGAGCAUGGGGUUUAAUUCGAUAGUAAGCGAAGAACCUUACCUAGGCUUGACAUGUCAGGAAUCCCCCCGAAAGGGGGGAGUGCCGCAAGGAACCUGAACACAGGCGCUGCACGGUUGUCGUCAGCUCGUGCCUUGAGGUGUACUGUUAAGUCAGCGAACGAGCGCAACCCUCAUCCUAUGUUGCUUUCUCAUAGGAGACUGCCGCCUCCAAGGCGGAGGAAGGUGGGGACGACGUCAAAUCAGCGUGGCCCUUAUGCCUAGGGCGACACCCGUGCUACAAUGGCCGAUACAGAGGGCAGCGAACGCGCAAGCGGGAGCUAAUCCCACAAAGUCGGUCUCAGUUCGGAUUGUAGUCUGCAACUCGACUGCAUGAAGUUGGAAUCGCUAGUAACCGUGAAUCAGCCACGUCACGGUGAAUAUGUUCCUGGG
rnacentral:rRNA from 1 species